CCACCCGCCUCGGCCUCCCAAAGUGCUGGGAUUACAGGCAUGAGCCACCACGCCCGGCCAAGUGGAAUGAAUUUUCAAGAGCAUUGAAGUUACCAUAAGGGGCCUAGAAAUACUCUGUAUACCUAUAUAGUGCUCUAGGAGCCCUCUGGCACAAAUGGAAGAAGAAAGAAGGGAGCAAGUAGCUAAAAUUAAGAAGAUGGAGAUGGAGAUGGAGCAGGUGUUUGAGAUGAAGGUCAAAGAAAAAGUUCAAAAACUGAAGGACUCUGAAGCUGAGGUACAGCGGACCUUCCUGGCAUCAGAAAAAGGCCUCCAGAAAAAGAGACACAGGAACUGAUUUCAUCUGAAAUUGAAGAGACAAUCAGAGAAAAACUAUAGACCACUCAUGAUGGUUGUUAUAUGUGCUUGGCUGGGCCAUGGGUCCCAGUGUUUGGUGAAACACAGCAGCAGAUGUCCCUCACACACAUGCCCUCUUGGUUCUGUUUCUUUGAAGAACCCCAGGAAAACACACAAAGGAAAAACAACUCGAUAGACAGAAGAUUCUUCAAUGACAACAAUGGAAGCCAUCUUCACCAUUCAACUAAACUUGAAUGGGAUAUUAUCAAACUUAAAAAAAAAUUAUCAACUGAUCGUGUAAUCAGUUUCAUCUUUUAAGACAG
rnacentral:lncRNA from 1 species